rnacentral:lncRNA from 1 species
UAAGCUUGAGACAAUUGUGUCAGAACUUAUCACAGAGGAAACCCGACUUGCUAUUAUGUGAUCACAACAUACUCCAUCUAGUGUUUCUAUAGAAUCCGUGAUGGCUGUUGCAAACUCAUCUUCAUCAGAUUCCUCCAAAAAAUAUUGUAAGUAUUGCCAUAGACUUGGUCAUCUCAUUACAGAGUGCUUCCGAUUGCAACGUAAGCAGACUACAGGGUC